UAUUAUGUACAUGUCUAUAUGCACCGGAUCCCAUCACAACUUCGCAGUUAAGCAUGCUUGGACUAGAGUAGUACUAGGAUGCGUGACCUCCUAGGAAGUCCUAGUGUUUUAC
rfam:Picea glauca, whole genome shotgun sequence.